rnacentral:rRNA from 1 species
CAGCCGCCGCGGGAAUACGAAGGGUGCAAGCGUUACUCGGAAUUACUGGGCGUAAAGCGUGCGUAGGUGGCGGUUUAAGUCCGUUGUGAAAGCCCUGGGCUCAACCUGGGAAUUGCAGUGGAUACUGGGUCACUAGAGUGUGGUAGAGGAUAGUGGAAUUUCCGGUGUAGCAGUGAAAUGCGUAGAGAUCGGAAGGAACAUCUGUGGCGAAGGCGACUAUCUGGGCCAACACUGACACUGAGGCACGAAAGCGUGGGGAGCAAACAGGAUUAGAUACCCCCGUAGUCCCUGUCUCUUAUAC